rnacentral:piRNA from 1 species
CAUCAGGUGACACAAGUGGAUUCCCAGUGA